rnacentral:rRNA from 1 species
UACGUAGGGUGCGAGCGUUGUCCGGAAUUAUUGGGCGUAAAGGGCUCGUAGGCGGUCUGUUACGUCGGGAGUGAAAACACGGGGCUUAACCCCGUGCCUGCUUCCGAUACGGGCAGACUAGAGGUAUGCAGGGGAGAACGGAAUUCCUGGUGUAGCGGUGAAAUGCGCAGAUAUCAGGAGGAACACCGGUGGCGAAGGCGGUUCUCUGGGCAGUAACUGACGCUGAGGAGCGAAAGCGUGGGGAGCGAACAGG